GUGGGGAAUAUUGGACAAUGGGGGGAACCCUGAUCCAGCCAUGCCGCGUGUGUGAAGAAGGCCCUUUGGUUGUAAAGCACUUUAAGCGAGGAGGAGGCUACCGAGAUUAAUACUCUUGGAUAGUGGACGUUACUCGCAGAAUAAGCACCGGCUAACUCUGUGCCAGCAGCCGCGGUAAUACAGAGGGUGCGAGCGUUAAUCGGAUUUACUGGGCGUAAAGCGUGCGUAGGCGGCUUUUUAAGUCGGAUGUGAAAUCCCCGAGCUUAACUUGGGAAUUGCAUUCGAUACUGGGAAGCUAGAGUAUGGGAGAGGAUGGUAGAAUUCCAGGUGUAGCGGUGAAAUGCGUAGAGAUCUGGAGGAAUACCGAUGGCGAAGGCAGCCAUCUGGCCUAAUACUGACGCUGAGGUACGAAAGCAUGGGGAGCAAACAGGAUUAGAUACCCUGGUAGUCC
rnacentral:rRNA from 1 species